rfam:Haemonchus placei strain MHpl1 genome assembly, scaffold: HPLM_scaffold0003027
GGCCCAAAUUUGAAGUAGAGUAGAUUAGAAGGAUCAUCUGACUCUACUAAACUACUUCACUUAGACUUUGUGCCC